rnacentral:rRNA from 1 species
CUUAAAACCGUUCUCAGUUCGGACUGCAGGCUGCAACUCGCCUGCACGAAGUCGGAAUCGCUAGUAAUCGCGGAUCAGCAUGCCGCGGUGAAUACGUUCCCGGGCCUUGUACACACCGCCCGUCACACCAUGAGAGUUUGUAACACCCAAAGUCGGUGGGGUAACCUUUUAGGAGCCAGCCGCCUAAGGUGGGACAGAUGAUUAGGGUGAAGUCGUAACAAGGUAGCCGUAGGAGAACCUGCGGCUGGAUCACCUCCUUU